rnacentral:rRNA from 1 species
GAGUGUCCUCCUACGGGAGGCAGCAGUGGGGAAUUUUGGACAAUGGGCGCAAGCCUGAUCCAGCCAUGCCGCGUGUCUGAAGAAGGCCUUCGGGUUGUAAAGGACUUUUGUCAGGGAAGAAAAGGGCGGGGUUAAUACCCCUGUCUGAUGACGGUACCUGAAGAAUAAGCACCGGCUAACUACGUGCCAGCAGCCGCGGUAAUACGUAGGGUGCGAGCGUUAAUCGGAAUUACUGGGCGUAAAGCGGGCGCAGACGGUUACUUAAGCAGGAUGUGAAAUCCCCGGGCUCAACCUGGGAACUGCGUUCUGAACGGGGUGACUAGAGUGUGGCAGAGGGAGGUAGAAUUCCACGUGUAGCAGUGAAAUGCGUGGAGGUGUGGAGGAAUACCGAUGGCGAGGGCAGCCUCCUGGGAUAACACUGACGUUCAUGCCCGAAAGCGUGGGUAGCAAACAGGAUUAGAUACGGUAGUCCUGAGU